GGCGAACGCUGGCGGCGUGCCUAAUACAUGCAAGUUGAGCGAUGAAGCUUGGUGCUUGCACCAAUUUGAAGAGCAGCGAACGGGUGAGUAACGCGUGGGGAAUCUGCCUUUGAGCGGGGGACAACAUUUGGAAACGAAUGCUAAUACCGCAUAACAACUUUAAACAUAAGUUUUAAGUUUGAAAGAUGCAAUUGCAUCACUCAAAGAUGAUCCCGCGUUGUAUUAGCUAGUUGGUGAGGUAAAGGCUCACCAAGGCGAUGAUACAUAGCCGACCUGAGAGGGUGGUCGGCCACAUUGGGACUGGGACACGGCCCAAACGCCUACGGGAGGCAGCAGUAGGGAAUCUUCGGCAAUGGACGAAAGUCUGACCGAGCAACGCCGCGUGAGUGAAGAAGGUUUUCGGAUCGUAAAACUCUGUUGGUAGAGAAGAACGUUGGUGAGAGUGGAAAGCUCAUCAAGUGACGGUAACUACCCAGAAAGGGACGGCUAACUACGUG
rnacentral:rRNA from 1 species